GUCAGAAAUAGCUGUCUGACUGUGAGGUACUGCAACAGCAGAGGGCACCAAUACUCCCUGGAAGCGUGUAGUCCGCCAAACCAACGAAGAAGAAGAUAGCGCCACUUCUAACGGUCCAGACUGACUCCGCUCAGCAACGGAGUGCCAGCAGCACCCUGCACCGAACCAACAACCUUCUCUUUCAAUGGUGGUGAUCCAAAUCAGUGUGGAGCAGAAUGCACCAUAGAGAUGUACAACUCUCCUGUUCAACACCUCAAGACUGAAGACUGCAAGGAAAGGACGCUAAUCUACACCGAGCAUCUGAAGAACAACAAACCAGUCCUCCAGCACAUUGAAUCCAAAAACCUCUUCCAGUUCCUCAGACACCAUCAGAGACUGUUUUGAAAGCCCUCUACUAUCAAUCUGGAUAAAAAGAAACUUUGUCAACCACUGCAAGUAUCAAGUGUUUUAAAUUUUGUUUGACUGUUUAUUAUGUACUUAUUAGUUUUUGGUCAUAUUAAGUUUGAUAUUAAUUAGAUCAGUGCCUUUUUAGUCAUUAAUUUGAUUAUUAAGUAUUAAUUGUUUAGGGCAGCACGGUGGUUAGCACUGUUGCUGCACAGCAACAGUGUUGGUAUAAUCAUAUAAUCUUUCAUUGCAGGUGUAACCUGGAUCAUCUUUAUACAUAUUGCCGCUUGGUGCUUAUUAUGGAGUUGUGCUCAUGUCAGUAAGGGUUAAAAGCUACAGUCAGCGGGAUGUCUGACUGAUCUAUUGAGGGAAGUGACGUAGAGCGUAGAAGGCCGCACAUGCUUACAAGAC